rnacentral:lncRNA from 1 species
CUGGGCCUUGCUGUUUUGCUGACUGACACCUCAGCUUUACCUGGAGGGAGCUGCCUUUCCUCCAGGCUCUCCUGGUGCCGAAAGCAGCAUCACUAAUGGGGAACCAUUUGGAAGUGGCGCUUUCUGCUGACAGACGAUGUAUGCCAGCCGUCACAGUCACAUUCGUGUAGUCCCACAGGAUAUGCUGAGCAGCUGAAAAUGCCAGGCAACAGCCAUAUGAUCCCUGCUUCUGCAAAGGGUUGCUUCACCAUCCUUGGGGUUCCCUGACACUUCUGCUUGUUUCCAGUUUUUCCUUGUGUCCAGUUCCUCCUUGCUUCCAGUAACCUGCUUUAGCCUACUCCGUCUCCUCUGCUGAGUCCCUGCACCAUCCUCUGACAGGCAUCUCAAGCCUGAGAACAGUGGAAAGCACAUCUGUGGCUCUGGACCAGCCAGCAUUAGGAAGAUGGCUCUGCAAACAGCUGGAAAGAGCUGGAAUUGGUCUGACACGCGGCUGCAGGGAGAGCCAGGGAUGGGAGCCCAAGCUCACGUGCAGCCCAAGCAGUCACGUCUGAAGAAAGCAACUCUGAUGGAAACGCGAUCACCAGGGCUUACAGGAGGCCUCUCUACUCUGUCGCUUCUUGUUGCCAGGAGUUGCAAAAUGCUUAAUGUCUCUGAGGAGUGGAACAGCUGCACAAUGAAUGCUGUGUACCCAUUUCCUAUGUCUGUCCUUCUGUCCAGGGUUCCAUCCAGGACACUACUCCACGUGUCACUAUGUCUCUCUGAGUUCCUCUCAUCUGGGCCAGUUUCUCAGUCUUGUGUUGCUUUUCAGUCCUAAAGAGCCUGGGCCUAGGACCCUGGAGAAUGGCAGCAGUCUUGGUUUGUCUGGCAUUUUUCUCACGAGUAGUCUGGGACCAGGUUUUGGAUUAGAUGAGUGUCCUUGUUACAG